rnacentral:misc_RNA from 1 species
AAUUCUCAACCGAUCCUUGGAUCGGCUUGGACUUGGGAGCUUGUUGGGUCCGCUCGGCUCUCCUGAAAUGCAUUGCAUUAAGCUAACGUGCACGGCCUCUGACGUGAUAAUGAUCGUCGUAGCUGGAGCGUGGGCUUGAUCGGAUCGGCUUUAGCUACUAGUUUGUUUGUAACCCGAACGAAACGAACGAACGCGAGUCUAACCUAAUG